rnacentral:rRNA from 1 species
UACGGGGGGGGCAAGCGUUGUUCGGAAUUACUGGGCGUAAAGGGUGUGUAGGUGGCGCGCUAAGUCGGGUGUGAAAUUUCGGAGCUUAACUCCGAAACUGCAUUCGAUACUGGCGUGCUUGAGGACUGGAGAGGAGACUGGAAUUCAUGGUGUAGCAGUGAAAUGCGUAGAGAUCAUGAGGAAGACCAGCGGCGAAGGCGGGUCUCUGGACAGUUCCUGACACUGAGACACGAAGGCCAGGGGAGCAAACGGG